AUACGUAGGGGGCGAGCGUUGUCCGGAAUGAUUGGGCGUAAAGGGCGCGUAGGCGGCCCGGUAAGUCUGGAGUGAAAGUCCUGUUUUUAAGAUGGGAAUUGCUUUGGAUACUGUCGGGCUUGAGUGCAGGAGAGGUAAGUGGAAUUCCCAGUGUAGCGGUGAAAUGCGUAGAGAUUGGGAGGAACACCAGUGGCGAAGGCGACUUACUGGACUGUAACUGACGCUGAGGCGCGAAAGUGUGGGGAGCAAACAGGAUUAGAUACCCUGGUAGUCCACACUGCAAACGAUGAAUGCUAGGUGUUGCGGGUAUCGACCCCUGCAGUGCCGGAGUAAACACAAUAAGCAUUCCGCCUGGGGAGUACGGCCGCAAGGUUGAAACUCAAAGGAAUUGACGGGG
rnacentral:rRNA from 1 species